GACGAACGCUGGCGGCGUGCCUAAUACAUGCAAGUAGAACGCUGAAGGAGGAGCUUGCUUCUCCGGAUGAGUUGCGAACGGGUGAGUAACGCGUAGGUAACCUGCCUGGUAGCGGGGGAUAACUAUUGGAAACGAUAGCUAAUACCGCAUAACAGUAGAUGUUGCAUGACAUUUGCUUAAAAGGUGCAAUUGCAUCACUACCAGAUGGACCUGCGUUGUAUUAGCUAGUUGGUGAGGUAACGGCUCACCAAGGCGACGAUACAUAGCCGACCUGAGAGGGGGGUCGGCCACACUGGGACUGGGACACGGCCCAGACUCCUACGGGAGGCAGCAGUAGGGAAUCUUCGGCAAUGGACGGAAGUCUGACCGAGCAACGCCGCGUGAGGGAAGGAGGUUUUCGGAUCGUAAAGCUCUGUUGUAAGGGAAGAACGAGUGUGGGAGUGGAAAGUUCACACUGUGACGGUAUCUUACCAGAAAGGGACGGCUAACUACGUG
rnacentral:rRNA from 1 species